rnacentral:rRNA from 1 species
GUCUACAGCCAUGCCACCCUGAACAAGCCCGAUGUCUGAUCUCAAAAGCCAAGCAGGGUUGGGCCUGGUUAGUACUUGGAUGGGAGACCACCUAGGAAGACCAGGUGCUAUAGUCA